rnacentral:rRNA from 1 species
GUGGGGAAUAUUGGACAAUGGGGGGAACCCUGAUCCAGCCAUGCCGCGUGUGUGAAGAAGGCCUUUUGGUUGUAAAGCACUUUAAGCGAGGAGGAGGCUACUCUAGUUAAUACCUAGGGAUAGUGGACGUUACUCGCAGAAUAAGCACCGGCUAACUCUGUGCCAGCAGCCGCGGUAAUACAGAGGGUGCGAGCGUUAAUCGGAUUUACUGGGCGUAAAGCGUGCGUAGGCGGCUUUUUAAGUCGGAUGUGAAAUCCCUGAGCUUAACUUAGGAAGUACAUUCGAUACUGGGAAGCUAGAGUAUGGGAGAGGAUGGUAGAAUUCCAGGUGUAGCGGUGAAAUGCGUAGAGAUCUGGAGGAAUACCGAUGGCGAAGGCAGCCAUCUGGCCUAAUACUGACGCUGAGGUACGAAAGCGUGGGGAGCAAACAGGAUUAGAUACCCCGGUAGUCC